rnacentral:misc_RNA from 1 species
AAAUAAAAAAAGAUGGGAUUAUUAUAAUGAAAGUGUAUGCUGACAUUAUAAUAAUCUUGUCUAUGUUCUAAAUACAAAAUACCUUCACGAGGUUUAGAAUGUGUGAUAUAAGGAAGUUAUAUUAGCUAAAUUUAUGUAUGUGGUAAAGGAGUUGAUUAGAAAAAGCUUGUGUAGUUAGGUGUAGAGAAGAUUAUUAAGAGAUGUAAUCUAUGGAGUUUUAAGAUAGUUUUUAUGCCUAUAAUAUCAAGGAUCUAUAUUAUUUACAGCACACUAAUUUUAACA